UACGUAGGGUGCGAGCGUGUCCGGAAUUAUUGGGCGUAAAGAGCUCGUAGGCGGUGUGUCACGUCGGCCGUGAAAACCUGCAGCUUAACUGUGGGCGUGCGGUCGAUACGGGCAUCACUGGAGUUCGGCAGGGGAGACUGGAAUUCCUGGUGUAGCGGUGAAAUGCGCAGAUAUCAGGAGGAACACCGGUGGCGAAGGCGGGUCUCUGGGCCGAUACUGACGCUGAGGAGCGAAAGCGUGGGGAGCGAACAGG
rnacentral:rRNA from 1 species